rnacentral:rRNA from 1 species
CAGCCGCCGCGGUAAUACGGAGGGAGCUAGCGUUGUUCGGAAUUACUGGGCGUAAAGCGCACGUAGGCGGCUUUGUAAGUUAGAGGUGAAAGCCCGGGGCUCAACUCCGGAGCUGCCUUUAAGACUGCAUCGCUUGAAUCAUGGAGAGGCGGGUGGAAUUCCGAGUGUAGAGGUGAAAUUCGUAGAUAUUCGGAAGAACACCAGUGGCGAAGGCGGCCCGCUGGACAUGUAUUGACGCUGAGGUGCGAAAGCGUGGGGAGCAAACAGGAUUAGAUACCCGCGUAGUCCCUGUCUCUUAUAC